AAGAGAUUCUUUAGAAGAACGAACCAAGGCGAGCCAUUGACGCGUGUGAGGCAAUGCAGAGAAAUGGGCAGGUUUUUCUGUCUUACAGGGGUCUGAGGCGCUUUAUUACAGUAUCUCUCACUGACACAGCAUCCCCCGGUGGUCAAAUCGAGCAGUGCAGGAACGGGGCCCCACCCCACCCCUCCCUCGCCCUUCUUCUGGUGAGAGAUGUCUUUAUUUACUCAGCUUGUGAAAUCAUUUAGACAGCACUGAGAUGGGCAGCUGAUAAUGGAGACAAGCUGCAGGGCAGGACGGAGCGGGAAUUGACUCGGGCAAUAUCUCGCUCCAUCUCUCUUUCUGCUUAUUGAGAGGAAACACAUCUUUUGUAAAAAAAAAAAAAGGAAAAAAAAAGCUGUUUAUUCAUCCAAAAUGACGCCAUGUGAAUCAUUCGGAAGCUCUGGAGAUAUUGUGAUGCUGCAUAUAUUCUGACCUCAGACAUAUUGGCCCCUACGCCGUUCCCGUGGACUCUAAAUCAAUUUGAAAACCAGGGGUAUUAAACAAGUUGACCUAUCAGCUAUUCGUGAGUGGGUAUACAUACAUUAGCACGUCGCUCAACAUUUAGUAACAUGGUACAUGCACGUAUUUGGUGAAGAGACCUAACGUGUGCCGUCUCACCGGAGGGAUUUGCGUGCUCAGAAUGUACGUACAGCGUGUCAUAUAUAUCACGACGUGGAGUCAGGGGAGGAAGUUCGUUGAGUUCUUCUACAAACCCCUCGCACAUUAAUAACGUUGAUCAGUCCAUAAAUUUCCAUAAACUUCCAUUGAAUAGGGUACCAUGGUAACUGAUGACUCACAGACAAGACGAACACAAAAGGUGUGCUUGAUUUUUUGUUUUUUUUUGCCUUUUGAAGAUAAACCCAAACCCACCUCAAAUCGAUAUUUAAUACAUAGUUGUCUGUGUUUAACUACACCAACCAUUCAACUAAAAACUUGAUAGACCCCGGCAUCCUUCUGCCGACUUAAGAAGAGAUUGUUCGGAAGAGUGUAAGAGUUGAUUUUGUUCCUUGUUUACAAAGAUGUGUUUGUUGACACGGACGCACACGAGCUUCUGGUCUGGUCCACCAGCGUGAGCCCUGGGAGCCUCUCAUGGGGGGGCAGAUGUGCUUGCAGCUCCCGGACUGACAUUCAAGCCGUCUUUUGCCAGAAGCAGUUUUCUGUCCCACUACUCGUUUCUGCAGUCACAAACAAUUAUUGAAUCAAUAGCUGGCGGUCGAUCGCCCCGACGUGAUUUCCUUCACUGCUGCGAGAGUCGUUGUCAUUUAGAGGAACAAUGAACUGUUUUUGUUGUCUUAUUUAAAGCUGUUUAGUGACUAUAAGGUAACGUUAUCUGGCACAAGCAAUAGAUGUUGGGGUUGCUCAGCGGUUGAGUAGUGUGGCAGCUGAAGGUGUUAGCAUCAUGCUACCCCCAAUGAGUUGCACAUCUGAUAAUAAGAUGUCACCGGUGACAUUAAUGCAUUAUAUUUUCUUAUUUUCCGAGUACCCAACGCUGCUGCUAUGCAUCACUUCGGCAUGACAUUGCAGUGGAGGCUCAUCUGGGAAGAAAAACAGCUCGUAGUUCUUAGACUCUUCUUCCUGUAACAUAGCAAACUGAGGUGAACUUAUGCAUCCAUCCCCUGGGAAAGCUUUGUGUUUUCAUUACAAAUGCAGUCAGAAGGAACCAUACCUAUGCUUUUGAGGUCAAAUGUCUGGGGCAUUUACUACAAAUAACAUGCACAUGCAUACAUAAUGUAUUGUGGACUUGUGCUCAAUUGUGCAUCUUUUGCAUCAGAUAUUUGCUCAUAAUUCAAUACACAAAAGAUAUGCAGCUGAGUGCAAUUUGCCCCUUUUCUCUGUCAGUUGGCAAUUAUCCACGUGUUAAAGUAUAAGUGUGCUUGAGGCUGACUGGUUGGUUUUGUUGGUUUACUGUGGCUGAGCCAGAUGGGCCCCCAACACCAUGACUUCAUUCCGGUUGGGCUCCGACCAUUUCUUUUCGUUAACACUGGGCUUGAGUCGACCUUUGAAUCAUUUAAUAAACUUCUCUCUAUUGAUUUUGCAGAUAUGCACAUCUGCGCUGCAGAGCACACAUACACAGAUGGGAAACAUCAAUAGCAUGAAACAUUUGAGAGUUUCAAAGUUUCAACGCAAAAAGACAAAGUGAACCUUUACUCAUGCAGCAUUGAAGCAAAAAUCCUUCUUUUUUCUCGUGUCUUUUUAAAAAUGACAAUGUUUGGAAGCUUUAGAAAUACAUUAUUGGUGGUAAAACUGUUACUGUCAUUGUCACUGCAUCCCAAAAUAUAUAUUUCUUUAGGGAUCAUAAAGACGUUAUAUUUGCAAGGGAGUUGUUUAUCAUCCUUUAUGGGUUAUUUGAGAAUGUUUUGGUUUAUUUUGGUCUUGUUUGCUCAGGUUUUACAGCAAAAGAAACAGACAAUCAAUGUGUGUUGUGUUUAGUAUGAGCACAGUAAAUGAACUAAUCUUCAAAUCAAUGGCUCUAAGUAAAUUGUGUUUUAUAUCCAUUACAUUUUUUCGAUGUGACAUAUUUUAACAUUUUCCAACCCUAAAAUAGUUUUUUAGAAAAAAAUGUUGAGCUAAAAGAAAAUUUCAAACUAUUUUUCAACCCACAAUUAGCGCCACACCCCUGUCUUUCUGCAGACUGAAGACCUUUGUGAAGGACUGCACUACUAAUAUGCAAACAAUAACACAGGAAGCUCUGAAGUACAUGUUUUACACGCACAAAGCUUAGUUAGCAGAAGGGUUUUUGUGUCUAUCAGCAAUAGUUUGUUUUCGUUUGACCAAGCAAAAUCCCUCAGCUCCCCAUAAACGUAGCGGGAAUAACAAACUACUUAAUUACUUAUCGAAUCCAAGCCCCAUUGCCUUUACAGAAAUAAACUGAUCUGAUGUGAUGCGAUCUGCUGUCCCAUUUCACUCACUGCAUUUUGAGCCCUUUUAGCCUGAUGAACUCCCUCAUGCAUUCACAUGGAGCUCGCAGGUGUUGUCGAUGAAUAUUUGCGAGGGUUCAGUGUGCAGCACAAAGGCCGGACGUUGUGUUUGGGACGAGGUCACUGGACUGGACCGGAGAUGGAGCCGCUCCCAGAAUACUUCAAGUGCGAGGAUAAUCUUGUGUGUGUACAGUAAUGAACACAUCAAUGAAUACGUCAUUAAAAUGCAUGAUCAAUAUAGCAUAUCACUGAUUCCAGAGUAAAAACAUAUGAAGUGGAUACUUUUUACUUUUAUAAACGUGUAUUCUUGUUUACUUGUUUUACGCUGUUUUUACUUAAUAGUUUUUUCUUUUUCUCGAUGUUUAAAUCGUUCUUACAAAAAGCACUUUAGUUUUGUCUUGUUAAAUUUUGCCUUUCCUUGCUUUGCAAAGCAUGUUGAUGUGAAAGUUCAACCAAAGGUAAAAAUCAGGCGGCAAAUCCCUGAUUUGACUGCGGGAUGGAAAAGCUGCCGUUCUGUUUAAAAUCGUUCACGAAAAAGUUAACAUUUACCCUGUCUAUGAACUCUUGAGCAAUUGCUUACAAUGAUGCAGUAAAUAUCUCUCCCUGUCUGCCAUUUAACUCUUUAUUUUCACUCCACUAUUUCCAGCAGCAAGUCAGCGCCGGGAAGCAGCGCAGUGGCUGGUGCUCGUAUGCAGCGUGUGUGUUGAGCCCCUAUUGAGGUACUGACAGUGAUACUGAGGGUGGGACUGUUGCAAACACACGAGCUGAGAGCCACGAAUGGCCCCGAACUCGCCCCGAUGACCUGCUUCUCAGGCGAUGGAAACAACGCGCCUGGUUCCAGUGAGAUGGAUUCGCCGACAGACCUGGACUCCACGUGCUUGGGAACAGCAGGAAACAGUUUGAGGAUUUCUCCCUGUGAUCUUAGCAGCGUAAUAUGCUGAGCGCGCAGAGAGGAAAGAGGAAUCUUAAAAUCCGUCUGUGUUUAAUGAGCUGGUGAUGCUUUUAACGUGAGAUACAACGUUCUGUUUUAGUGAAUGCUGUCAAGGGUGCAAUUUUUAAAUACAACAGUUACAUUUUGUGAUGAUAAACAACUAAAAGCUUCAGCGUUUCUCAUCAGGAAACACAUUUUUCCUUAUUAUAUUUAUUUGCAUUUGUGCUUUGCUCUUAUUGCUUGUUUUUGCUCGUACAAAAAUUAUGCAAAGCUUGAAAACCAACGACGUAUGAGUAAUUACUCGGAUACAGCCUCUCAAAGGGACAGUCUGGAGCUAAUAAACUUUGUAAUAAUGGCCUAAAAGCAAUAUUUAAUAACUGUUUACUGCAAGAAUGCACACACCCUGCACCGCAUUAGAAAAUUCAUAAUUGCAUGCAUGGAAUGUAUUCAAGUUAAAACUACUUAAACAAAAGUAAAACUUCAAAACACACUGCAACUUUAGACCGAGUAACAGUUCACACUAUAUUUGAGAUGGAACUUGGCUCUAAACGAUUUGAGGACGUUUAAUGGAAACGUGUGUGCCAAUGACACCACUAAGAGUUCUUUGAACGCUUUCCUGGUUUGUUCAAUUAUUUUAGUUUUGCAAUAUACAGAAGAGUUGUAUAGGACCUCCUUUUCACCGUGGAAUUACAUGGGUCAUGUCCUGGUGGUCAUCCCUACCCUUAAAAUAAAGGAAUGGCUUACUCUGAGUACCAGAUCCAUGUGAUUCACGGCUGUAUUUGGUGAAUAGACGUUCAUAAUACGCCGUUAGCGUGAGACCAAAAAAACGCAACAUGUGAGUCGAAAUGUUAUAUUAGAAAUAAUUAAAUACGUUUUUUAUUUUGAUCUUUUACUUUCUAUUGUUUCCUUUUACAGUAUGUUUUUAACUGUAAUGAACACAUAUACAGAGACAACCUUUUAAGUAAAAUCUUAAAAUUGGCAACAUGAGAGAAAAAAACAGAGAGUUUGUCUUGAUGUUUAAAGGAGGAAUGUUUUUGGCCUCGUCCCUUUUCAGUGCUGCAGCCCCUCGUACUCUGAGCACCUUGACAGUUUAAGGCAAACGACUCCCACCGUCGGGUUCUGAGAUUAACUCUGACAGCCACACUGAGGGCAUUUCUCUCCUUGAGGAGGUUUUGCUGACAUCGUUGGUGGCUUUUGCAGAUUCGAUUUUUAAGGAAAAAAACGACAUAAAUAUAAUAAAAAAACUGUCAACACGUUUCACCAGUUAUUUCUCAUAUAUGUUAUUUUGGCAAGCCAAAGGCACAAACAAUGACAGGAUGAAUAUAUAGACCGAUAAUUCCCUUAUUAUACCCUAUAAGCCACAUUUGUAAUUAUGAAGUUAAUCACCUACAGUACGUGUUCGUAUACCAACAGUAGUAUGAAUACCAACAGCUGUUGCUAUUACUCACAACUAUUAAGUAGACUUGGGAAAAAAUGACCAAUCCACGCUGUUAGGCCCCAAUACUUCUUUAAUGUGUUUUAAUAACUGUACAUUUUCACUCGUCCUUGAGAGCAGUUUCCUCCGAUGACAGAAUUGAGGUUGUUUUUAGCGUCAGAAGUGUGAUGAGGAGCUGGACACAUCCAACCCACCAGACUUUGGGCAGAUAAACAUUGAAGAGACAAAUAGUAUGUCGUUGACCUUUAUAAGCUGAGGUCACAGUAUUAAAUCCUUUGAGCCAUUUCUCAUUUUAUGAGAAGCACACUGCAGCUUCUACAACUGGUAAAUUAUUUAUUUUAUUUAAAGUAUUUCCUAAUCAUGAGUGACACUUGAUCUUGUGCGCAUGAAGCACUUGUUCCAUAACGGAAACGAUGCCUUCACAAAAACGAGACCGGAAUGCUUGAAACUAGUCGCAGUUUGAGAUGGAAAACAACCUUCUUUUUUGCCAGUGUUGGUUUUUAAUGAAGGAUUCACAUAAAAUCAGCCAUAGUAAAUGGAGAGUGUUUUUUGAGUGCAGCCUCUUCAUUGUCUGGGACUGUUUACUGCAUCUGUCGGCCUUCUGUCGGCUUUGCUUUCCAAUCUCUGUGAUUUUUCUGUGCAUGAAAAAGAGGCUCAUCCGUCCUGUUCCUCUCUCCCACUAUUCAUUCCCACCAAACGACUGAACAACUGCUUUAAGAUGCUCCUCCGACUGCUAAUCAUCCCCUGCCGUUUUUAAAACACCUCCACCGAGCUAAAUACCAUUCGGUUCAGCGCAUCACGAUCGACUCGGCGAGAUAGUCGACUGACUUUCCACUCUUCCAUUUAUCUCUCCUUGCUUGGCACAACAGUCAAUACGGACUCAGCUGGCCCAAGCGGAACGGAUUUCAAACCAAACAGAAUCACUGAACCUAUUAGCCCAGAUCUUGUCACAGAAACACGCCCCCAACCAUCAAAGGGGAGGAGUCACAGCUGGUUCGUUGGUUCAAAGUACCAGUCGCAGCAGUGAGGCCCAUUCUGCUAUAAUGUGUCUACCUGUGUCGCUAUUCAUGUCGUAAUAUGGUUCUUUUGGUAUGUUUUAUGUUCAGUGAAGGUUACAGACUGUCAGAUGGCAUCAGCGGUUUCUCCUUUUUUCUCCGUUUUUACGGGCUCCUCCCUUAUGCGCCAUUUCCUCCUCUACAUCCUUGCCUCUGUUUCCUCCUUUCUCCAAACAGUGUUUGGAGAGUACAAAUAUUUUGGUGUCAAUCAGGGAAAACGUGGUCUACCUCUUGCUAUAAUUGUCUUUUGAGUAACAAUUCAUUAGACUUGCAUGAAGACUUCACAAGGCGUCCUUGAGGAAUCCGGGGGCGGUUUACGCUUGAAAAGUUGCUGUCGUGUGCCUGAUGUAACUUGAGUGAAGUCUUACAAGACGGAGGUGAGGCAGCCCUGCUUUUGUGACAGUCGAAACUCUGUAUGAAUAUGUAUGAAUAUAAGCAUAAUACACACAGAGGUGGAAAAUAAAGCCUUGAAAUGAAAGUACUUCAGUAACAGAAUGAGAGAUGUUAUCCCACAGAGGGCAGAUGAUGGUGGGCCACUGGGCUAAUCACUGAUUCUUCAUGAUAUGUAAAUGUCCUCUCUUGUUCCUUAGUAACCAAGGAGCAACACGUCCUUCAGUGCUCGUAUGCACUUUCUCUCUGUAUUUACUUAUUUUCCAAAUAAUAUUACUGUUUAAACUGAAUUUUGAGAUUAAUCUGGGACAAUCCACCCGAGAUGAACUGUCAGAGGUGCUCGCCAAAGCUCUCGCAAACGACUACAGACAAAGCAUCAUUUAUCGCUUCCAGGAGUGGAGUCACCAUGGAUACGGGUCUUCCACCUGUCAUGCUGUUCGCACCGUUGGAUGGAUUAAGAAGGAAACAAACCUCCCUCCCUUUUUGGAAUACAUGCUUCUCAACUUGCGGGUGAAAGAUUGUUACAAUAUUCUUCCCCCAAAUGAGGUUAUGGAGGAAAUUAAGCACGAUGACCAUAAACGAUCCAGCCGUAGGGGUCCACCUGCUCUUGUUAUUCGAUGCAUUCGUCUUCCCUGUGUGCGUACAGUGCAUUAGCCAGGGAGUAUGUGUGACUUUUUACAGCUCCUCUGGAUCCACAAAAGGCUUUCACACAACUUGUUUUAUAUGCAUAUAUAUAUGUACAUAUAUACAAAUAUUCAUGCAGAAGUACUCCCAAAGAUCUGAAAAGUUACUACUACGUGAAAAAUAAGUUGCAUAAAGAAUCCCUCCCAAAUGUCAGAAGGCUUCUAGACAUUAAAGUAGAACACCUACUGGCAUGGAA